rnacentral:rRNA from 1 species
GUGUCGGGGGUCGACCUCGGUGCCGCAGCUAACGCAUUAAGCAUUCCACCUGGGGAGUACGAUCGCCAGAUUGAAACUCAAAGGAAUUGAUGGGGGCCCGCGCAAGCGGUGGAGCAUGUGGUUUAAUUCGAAGCAACGCGAAGAACCUUACCAGGUCUUGACAUCCCAUUGACCGGUUCGUAAUGGAACCUUAUCUUCGGAACAAUGGUGACAGGUGGUGCAUGGUUGUCGUCAGCUCGCUGUCGUGAGAUGUUGGGUUAAGUCCCGCAACGAGCGCAACCCUUAUCUUUAGUAGCCAGCAUGUAAUGAUGGGGACUCUAGAGAGACUGCCGGGGAUAACUCGGAGGAAGGUGGGGAUGACGUCAAAUCAUCAUGCCCCUUAUGACCUGGGCUACACACGUGCUACAAUGGUGGUAACAAAGGGAAGCGCAAGCCGCGAGGUGGAGCAAACCCCAUAAAAGCCAUCCCAGUUCGGAUUGUAGUCUGCAACUCGACUACAUGAAGUUGGAAUCGCUA